CUUAUUUGGCUCCUGUCUGCAGGGUUUACGCGCACGUUGGAAUCGAAGAGAGCUCUGUUGUUGCAAUGUUCAGCCCACAAGAGCUUACAGGUGAAGGAAUGGGACAAGACCCAUCUUUAUGCAAAGCCAGCGUUACAGUAAUGUUCCAGGUAGGUGUACAUGGUUUAUGCACUUAUAGAGGAGACCUUGCUAGAUAACCACUCCAUGAUGAACACAAAAUGACAAGCAUAUGGCUGAACUUAUCAAGUGAUGUCAUCUUACUACUGAGAAGUGAGAGAGAGGUCUUAAGGGGUCUUUGAAUGACUAUUUUUAGGUACAUAAAAUGACUUCCUCUGUUUUCUACAGCAUCUCAUAAUCUAUCCUGAGGAAUUCAGCUGCCUCCCAGGGUGAAUACAGGUAUUUCUGAUGACAGUCUGCCUCUAUCUUACAGUAAGUUGUUUUUCGAAUUCUAUGGGCCUAUUAUCUAAUAGAUAAGAUAGCCAUCUUGAAAUUUGUUACAUUUGUUACCAAAGCCUGCUUAACCCAUAAAGUUUUCUGGUUCCUCUUGUUCUCUGUAGUGAUGUUUCUAGAC
rnacentral:sRNA from 1 species